GACGAACGCUGGCGGCGUGCUUAAUACAUGCAAGUCGAGCGGAAAGGCCCUGCUUUUGUUGGGUGCUCGUGUGGCGCACGGGUGAGUAACACGUGAGUAACCUGCCCUUGACUUUCGGAUAACUUCAGGGAACUCGGGCUAUUAUCGGGUAUGAGCUCCUGAUGCAUGGUGUGGAUUGGAGAGUUCCGGCGGUUGUGGAUGGACUCGCUGCUUAUCAGCUUGUUGGUGGGGUAGUGGAUUACAAAGGCUUUGACGGAUAGCCCGCCUGAGAGGGUGAACGGGGACAAUGGGACUGCGAUACGGAGCAGAAGCCUACGGGAGGCAGUAGUCGAGAACAUUGCACAACGACCGGAAGCCUGAGGUGGCAAUGUUGGGUGCGUGAUAACCGCCUACGGGGUGAAAACAGAUGUCGACGUUAAUAAAGACUUAGUGACGGUAAUGGGUAAAAAAGCACCGGCUAACUACGUG
rnacentral:rRNA from 1 species